UACGAAGGGGGCUAGCGUUGCUCGGAAUUACUGGGCGUAAAGCGCACGUAGGCGGCUUCUUAAGUCGGUGGUGAAAUCCUGGAGCUCAACUCCAGAACUGCCUUCGAUACUGGGAAGCUCGAGUCCGGGAGAGGUGAGUGGAACUGCGAGUGUAGAGGUGAAAUUCGCAGAUAUCAGGAGGAACACCGGUGGCGAAGGCGGGUCUCUGGGCCGUAACUGACGCUGAGGAGCGAAAGCGUGGGGAGCGAACAGG
rnacentral:rRNA from 1 species